CUAGGAUUCCCUUAGUAACGGCGAGUGAACGCGGGAUGAGCUCAAAUUUAAAAUCUGGCGUCUUUCAGGCGUCCGAGUUGUAAUCUAUAGAGGCGUUUUCCGCGCCGGACCGCGUCCAAGUCUCUUGGAAUAGAGUAUCAAAGAGGGUGACAAUCCCGUACUUGACGCGACAACCGGUGCUCUGUGAUACGUUCUCAAUGAGUCGAGUUGUUUGGGAAUGCAGCUCUAAAUGGGUGGUAAAUUCCAUCUAAGGCUAAAUAUUGGCGAGAGACCGAUAGCGAACAAGUACCGUGAGGGAAAGAUGAAAAGCACUUUGGAAAGAGAGUUAAACAGCACGUGAAAUUGUUAAAAGGGAAACGAUUGAAGUCAGUCGUGUGAAAGGUAUUCAGCCGUCUCUGGCGGUGUAUUUGCCUUUCACGGGUCAACAUCAGUUUGAUCCGGUAGAAAAAGGCGGGAGGAAGGUGGCACCCUCGGGUGUGUUAUAGCCUCCUGUCAUAUGUGCCGGACCAGACUGAGGAACGCAGC
rnacentral:rRNA from 2 species